CUAAUACAUGCAAGUCGAGCGGACUUGAUGGAGUGCUUGCACUCCUGAAGGUUAGCGGCGGACGGGUGAGUAACACGUAGGCAACCUGCCCUCAAGACUGGGAUAACUACCGGAAACGGUAGCUAAUACCGGAUAAUUUAUUUCGCAGCAUUGUGGAAUAAUGAAAGACGGAGCAAUCUGUCACUUGGGGAUGGGCCUGCGGCGCAUUAGCUAGUUGGUGGGGUAAUGGCUCACCAAGGCGACGAUGCGUAGCCGACCUGAGGGGGUGAACGGCCACACUGGGACUGAGACACGGCCCAGACCCCUACGGGAGGCAGCAGUAGGGAAUCUUCCGCAAUGGGCGAAAGCCUGACGGAGCAACGCCGCGUGAGUGAUGAAGGUUUUCGGAUCGUAAAGCUCUGUUGCCAAGGAAGAACGUCUUCUAGAGUAACUGCUAGGAGAGUGACGGUACUUGAGAAGAAAGCCCCGGCUAACUACGUGCCAGCAGCCGCGGUAAUACGUAGGGGGCAAGCGUUGUCCGGAAUUAUUGGGCGUAAAGCGCGCGCAGGCGGUUCUUUAAGUCUGGUGUUUAAACCCGAGGCUCAACUUCGGGUCGCACUGGAAACUGGGGGACUUGAGUACAGAAGAGGAGAGUGGAAUUCCACGUGUAGCGGUGAAAUGCGUAGAUAUGUGGAGGAACACCAGUGGCGAAGGCGACUCUCUGGGCUGUAACUGACGCUGAGGCGCGAAAGCGUGGGGAGCAAACAGGAUUAGAUACCCUGGUAGUCCACGCCGUAA
rnacentral:rRNA from 1 species